GACGAAGGAUGCAAGCGUUAUCCGGAUUCAUUGGGUUUAAAGGGUGCGUAGGCGGUCUAUUAAGUCAGUGGUGAAAGCCGGUAGCUUAACUAUCGAAUUGCCAUUGAUACUGGUAGACUUGAGUACAGAUGCUGUGGGCGGAAUAUGACAUGUAGUGGUGAAAUACAUAGAGAUGUCAUAGAACACCGAUUGCGAAGGCAGCUCACAAAACUGUAACUGACGCUGAGGCACGAAAGCGUGGGGAGCGAACAGG
rnacentral:rRNA from 1 species